rnacentral:rRNA from 1 species
UACAGAGGUCUCAACCGUUGUUCGGAUUCAUUGGGCGUAAGGGUGCGUAGGCGGCGGGGUAAGUCGGGUGUGAAAUCUCGGGGCUCAACCCCGAACUGCACUUGAUACUGCCUCGCUUGAGUACUGGAGAGGAGACUGGAAUUUGACGGUGUAGCAGUGAAAUGCGUAGAUAUCGUAAGGAAGACCAGUGGCGAAGGCGAGGUCUCUGGACAGUUACUGACGCUGAGGCACGAAGGCCAGGGGAGCAAACGGG